UUUCGACACACUAUCAUUAACUGAAUCCAUAGGUUAAUGAGGCGAACCGGGGGAACUGAAACAUCUAAGUACCCCGAGGAAAAGAAAUCAACCGAGAUUCCCCCAGUAGCGGCGAGCGAACGGGGAGCAGCCCAGAGCCUGAAUCAGUGUGUGUGUUAGUGGAAGCGUCUGGAAAGGCGCGCGAUACAGGGUGACAGCCCCGUACACAAAAAUGCACAUGCUGUGAGCUCGAUGAGUAGGGCGGGACACGUGGUAUCCUGUCUGAAUAUGGGGGGACCAUCCUCCAAGGCUAAAUACUCCUGACUGACCGAUAGUGAACCAGUACCGUGAGGGAAAGGCGAAAAGAACCCCGGCGAGGGGAGUGAAAAAGAACCUGAAACCGUGUACGUACAAGCAGUGGGAGCACGCUU
rnacentral:rRNA from 1 species